rfam:Bacillus sp. FJAT-18017 genome.
AGAGUCCUGAAGUGUACGUUGCAUCGCCUAAAUGUUUUGACCGAACAUUUUUUCUUCGGGAGUCCGGGUUUCGUUGCCGCGUAAAUGCCCUUUUUAGGGACUUACAGUGACGGCGGACAGGACACCCACCUGCUUAAUGCGGGCCAAAACGAAGGAAUCAGGUAACGGCACAAGUUGGGACUCUU